GCUGGGUGUGUGGUGCACACCUGCAAUCCCAGAGACUUGGGAGGCUGAGACAGGAGGAUCAUAAGUUCAUGUUCAGCCUCAGCAACUUAGCAAGAUCCUGUCUCAA
rnacentral:sRNA from 1 species